UCCCAGACUCCUACGGGAGGCAGCAGUGGGGGAUAUUGCACAAUGGGGGGAACCCUGAUGCAGCGACGCCGCGUGGGUGAAGAAGCGCCUCGGCGCGUAAAGCCCUGUCAGCAGGGAAGAAAAUGACGGUACCUGAAGAAGAAGCCCCGGCUAACUACGUGCCAGCAGCCGCGGUAAUACGUAGGGGGCAAGCGUUAUCCGGAUUUACUGGGUGUAAAGGGAGCGUAGACGGCAGUGCAAGUCCGGAGUGAAAGCCCGGGGCUCAACCCUGGGACUGCUCUGGAAACUGUAAAGCUGGAGUGCGGGAGGGGCAGGCGGAAUUCCUGGUGUAGCGGUGAAAUGCGUAGAUAUCAGGAGGAACACCGGCGGCGAAGGCGGCCUGCUGGACCGUAACUGACGUUGAGGCUCGAAAGCGUGGGGAGCAAACAGGAUUAGAUACCCUAGUA
rnacentral:rRNA from 1 species